rnacentral:lncRNA from 1 species
GUGAAGCCCCAGCUCAAGGCCAGAGGCCCUGUUUGCACAUUUCUACAAAGUACUAUACUGGAUACAUGUUUGUGAAAAACUAGUGAGGGGGUGUCCAGCACCUGGAGUGCUGGUAUCUUCCCGGCCAGUGGCCAAGUAAAACAGGGCGACUCGAAAAUAGGAAGUUUAUCUACAUUGAACUCUUUAGCAGAGACUCUUUUGCUGACAGCCCUAAAAUCAGCCAUGAUGAAGAGGGCUUUUCUGUGGAGAAAAGUGGUGCCACUUCAGUCUAACACUUCUCUUACUGUCUUGAAAUUCUUUAUUUUUAAACCAGGGGGCCUUUUCCAGUUCGUAUUGGGUCCAGCAAGUCACAAUAACCUGUCCUGACUGCUACAGGGGGACCGGAAGCCCUGGGCCCCCGCAGAGAAUCAGCCUGGAGACCUGCCUUACCUGCCCCCCACACACACACACCUGCCUUUGAUCUACACACUUCUCCACAGUGAGGUUCCGUUCCAGGCACUCGGGAUUCAGCAAUGAGGGCUGCUGGUGUGGAGCUGCUGUGCAGAUGGAGAUGGGCUCCGGGGACACCUUAGCACUGGCUGGUGAGCUGAGGCUUAGCUCUCCCCUUCAAGGAACCCAGGUCUCAGAGGGGGAGACAGAGGAGACUGCUAGGAGGGGAGGUUGGAAGGAGGGUUGAGGUUCCCUGUCUGCCAGGAAGGCCCAGAGGUCAGGGAGGAGAAUACACCUGCACAGGCUUUAUAUCCAGGAAUAAUGGGCCAGGUGGAGCCAGGAAGGGCACCUGGAAAGAUGCCCCAGCAUGUGCAGAGACAGGAGUGUGACACACAGCCUGGACUCAGGCCGUUUCCGCCGGGAGCCCUGUGUCCUCAGCUGUGUCCAGAGCCCAGCCAGCAUACACACUCAGAAGUAAACCAGUGGCUUCAAGAGUGAACCACUGCAGGGGCGCAGGAGCAAGCAUAGAAGGCCUGGGUCUCCUCGCUGGCCACAGAGGGUGUGGGACUGACCCCAGGAGAGGCAGCUUGCCCACCACACCAUGCCGUGCCCACAUACCUGGCCCGCCUUCUCACCAAGCGCUCCUGCCACGCAGACACCUGUGGCCUCUCUCCCACUAGAACAAAGGCUCUGUGGGAAAGACUUGGGCUUGCCCACUUCCGUGUCUCCAGCACAUAA